GCAGUCACAUCGUUUCUUCUCCUUCUGACGGAAUUGGAACCAGGAAAUCAGGAAACCAAGGAAACCGGAGCAUGCUGGCUUACAGGUAGGCAACGUCCCAAAUGACACCCUAUAUUCACAACAGACCCUAUCGGCUCUGGUCUAAUGUAGUGCACUAUAUAGGGAGUAGGGCUCUGGUCUAAUGUAGUGCACUAUAUAGGGAGUAGGGCUCUGGUCUAAUGUAGUGCUCUAUAUAGGGAGUAGGGCUCUGGUCUAAUGUAGUGCACUAUAUAGGGAGUAGGGCUCUGGUCUAAUGUAGUGUUCUAUAUAGGGAGUAGGGCUCUGGUCUAAUGUCGUGCACUAUAUAGGGAGUAGGGCUCUGGUCUAAUGUAGUGCACUAUAUAGGGAGUAGGGCUCUGGUCUAAUGUAGUGCACUAUAUAGGGAGUAGGGCUCUGGUCUAAUGUAGUGCACUAUAUAGGGAGUAGGGCUCUGGUCUAAAGUAGUGCUCUAUAUAGGGAGUAGGGCUCUGGUCUAAUGUAGUGCACUAUAUAGGGAGUAGGGCUCUGGUCUAAUGUAGUGCUCUAUAUAGGGAAUAGGACUCUGGUCUAAUGUAGUGCACUAUAUAGGGAAUAGG